UACGUAGGGUGCGAGCGUUGUCCGGAAUUAUUGGGCGUAAAGAGCUUGUAGGCGGUUUGUCGCGUCUGCCGUGAAAUUUCGGGGCUCAACCCCGAACUUGCGGUGGGUACGGGCAGACUAGAGUGUGGUAGGGGAGACUGGAAUUCCUGGUGUAGCGGUGAAAUGCGCAGAUAUCAGGAGGAACAUCAGUUGCGAAGGCGGCUCUCUGGACCAGCACUGACACUGAGGCACGAAAGCGUGGGGAGCAAACAGG
rnacentral:rRNA from 1 species